rnacentral:rRNA from 1 species
GUUCCUUGGAAAAGGACAGCUGAGUGGGUGACACUCCCGUCCGCCUGGUAGAAUGAGUCUUUGUCAACGAGUCGAGUUGUUUGGGAUUGCAGCUCUAAUUUGGUGGUAAAUUCCAUCUAAAGCUAAAUAUUGGUGGGAGACCGAUAGCGUACAAGUACCGUGAGGGAAAGAUGCAAAGAACUUUGAAAAGAGAGUUAAAGAGUACCUGAAAUUGCUGAAACGGAAGCGAAGGAAACCAGUGUUUGUUGGUUCAUAUUUCCCUUGUCACUUGUGAUGUGGGCGCUGUGAGCUUGCGUGGGUUUGCUUUGGUUGAUUCCUUUGGAAGAGCGCAGUCAGAGUUGAUGUCU